AUUGAACGCUAGCGGGAUGCCUUACACAUGCAAGUCGAACGGAGUGGCGAACGGGCGAGUAAGGUAUCGGAACGUGCCCAGUAGCGGGGGAUAACUACGCGAAAGCGAAGCUAAUAACGCAUACUAGUGGAGAGGCCGAUACCGUAAUAGCUAGUUGGUGGGGUAACGGCUAACCAAGGCGACGAACCGUGGCUGGUUUGAGAGGACGACCAGCCAAACUGGGCGUGAGACACUGCCCAGACUCCGACGGGAGGCAGCAGUGGGGAAUUUUGGACAAUGGGGGAUACCCGGAUCCAGCCAUCCCGCGUGUGCGAUGAAGGCCUUCGGGUUGUAAAGCACUUUUGGCAGGAAAGCGGUACCUGCAGAAUAAGCACCGGCUAACUACGUGCCAGCAGCCGCGGUAAUUC
rnacentral:rRNA from 1 species